GGCAGUAUGAUGGGACAAGCCGUGGGGGUCAGGUAUGGCCCGCAAACUGAUCCUUGGCUGGUGGGAGAGUACAGGAGAAACUCCCAAUCUUUUUAUACCCCGUCUUGAGCUGGGUGAAAAAGUUGGCCACAAGGAUCUCUGGUGGAUCUCGGGGGUGGGGUGCUUUGCAAGGAGGCUCUGGACUGACCCAUGCACCUGAGAGAGGGCUGAGGACACACUUACAUCUGGGAGGGGGGCGGUCCCAGCCCCAUGGGGGGUAUAUUAGGGGUCUCCAGCAAAACAGAACUACUGGGAUGUGUGUGUGUGUGUGUGUGUGUGUGUGUGUGUGUGUGUGUGUGUGUGUGGAUAUUUAGGGAACUGGCUCAUCCGAUCAGGAAGGCUGGCAAGUCCAGAAUCUGUGGGCUGGGCCAGCAGGCAGGAGACCCAGCGAGGGGCCUGGGUGCAGAAAUCCCUCUUGCUCAGGGAAGGUCAGCCUUUUGUUUUAUUCGGGCCUUCAGAGGAUUGGAUGAAGCUGCCCCACAUUAUGAAGGGUCAUCUCUUGACUCACUGUCUACUGAUUUAAAUGUUAAUCUCACCCCAAAACACCGCCACAGAAACAUCCAGAAUAAUGUGUGACUGCAUAUCUGGGUGCCGUGGCCCAGCCAGGUAGACACAUAGCAUCGGUAAUCCCGGGGGGCAUACCCAAGGGCCGGAGAGCCCAACACAGGACCAGGAAGACCCAGGGUGGAGAGGUUCAUGCCCCCUCUGUGCCAGCCACCAUGACACCGAGCUCGGGAUCGACCCAGGUGGCUGGAACUGGGGGAGGACCUUGAAUUUGACCCAGUUUGAACCCAGAAUGACUGAGGAAAAUUACACAGGCAUCUGAGUAGUACACAAGGGUCCUCUUUGGGCGCGUCGGAGGUCACGCGACUGUGGAAUUGGCACCUGUGACCUGAAGACCACACUGGGAUCUCACCGCUUAAAAAAGAGAAACCUGUGUAAAACGAGCGAUAGAAACAUCCUCCCCAACCUCGUGCCACCUCGGAGGCUGCGGCUGAGCCGGGCCUGGGGGCCACAGGCAUCUGGGACAAAGCCAUCCUUCACACACACUCAGGUAUGCACAUGUGUGUGCACACAUACCCACUUGUGCACACACCCACACACACCUGCACACCGCUCGCUCACCUCCCUGCUGUCGCCCACGCUGGCCUCGGUGCUUGGAACCUUUCUGCUUCUGGUCCUCACCCAAGAGCCUCCUUUCCUUCCCUGAAGGGCCAGGUACUCAGAGCGUCCUCUGUCCCCGCACCAACCCACCAGGUGACGACUGCCUUUCUGCACGUGUCCGCACUGCUGCCCCUUCGGCACCUGGGACCAGGCCCUGCCGGACGGGUCUGUGUCCUGCCUGGCCCAGAGCAGGUGCCUGGGGAUGGCUGCGGAAUGAGCGGAUGAGUGAUGGGCGGGUGCGGGCGCUGCACUGACGGCCGGAGGCGCGGAGCCCGGGCCCUGGCCUGCGGCAUCCGUGUGCAGUGGGAGCCCGCGGGGUGCACCGUGAGCCGUGCCGGUGUGCACACGCAUACUGUGGCCAGCCGAGGGGACGCGGGCGCUGAAACUAACAGGAUGUCCAACAAGGGUGCGGGAAGCUUUGCCCAGCACCUAGCCUCAUUGCAAGCCUCUGUCACCGGCCUGCGGCCCAGGGAGGUGUAGCACCGGCUUGAUUACUCACCUUCGGUGGCUGAGCUGGGAUUUGAGCCCAGGGUGUGCGGCCUCCUCCCUUGUCGCCCCCGGAAGCCAGGCGGGAUAUGCCGGGCAACAGGGAGUCACAGCAUGUUCGUGAGCAGGGGACAAACCCGACUGUGUCUCACCAUUGCCUCGUGCCUGGUGCCUCGCAUCUGCUCGGCGAAGGUGGGCUGAAAGCUGAUGGGUGAGGGAUGAGAAUGUUGGAGAAAGAGUCCUUCAAUGUUACAAAACCUUGUGAGACUCUGGUCGAUGUAUAUGUGUGUAUCUGCAUGCUUACGUGUCCACACUCGCCCGUACGUGUUUCAUGGAACAGCCUCGGAAGGAAAUCCUGGAAACAGGUCACAGUGAGGGACUUGAGGGGGCAAGUAGGCAGGACACCCCUGUCCAUUGUAAACGUUUUCUACCUAUUUGGAUUUUUACCCUGUUCCUGCAUGACUUAAUGUG